rnacentral:rRNA from 1 species
AACGAACGCUGGCGGCAUGCCUAAUACAUGCAAGUCGAACGAGACCUUCGGGUCUAGUGGCGCACGGGUGCGUAACGCGUGGGAAUCUGCCCUUGGGUUCGGAAUAACAGUUGGAAACGACUGCUAAUGCCCUAUAUGCCUUUAAUACAUAAGUAUGCAAGGGAAACGCUUUAGUGCUUGAGGAUGGGUCUGUAUGGUAUCAGUUAGUUGGUGGGGUAAUGGCCUACCAAGACAAUGACGCCUAACUGGUUUGAGAGGAUGAUCAGUCACACUGGAACUGAGACACGGUCCAGACUCCUACGGGAGGCAGCAGUGGGGAAUAUUGCACAAUGGACGAAAGUCUGAUGCAGCAACGCCGCGUGGAGGAUGACACAUUUCGGUGCGUAAACUCCUUUUAUAUAGGAAGAUAAUGACGGUACUAUAUGAAUAAGCACCGGCUAACUCCGUG